AUAAUUCACUCUGACAUUUUAGUGAUCACUUUUCAAAUGUCUUCCGAAGUAGCCCUCAGAAAAAAUAGAAUGUACACAUUCAGACAAUGUCGAGGAAGGAAGUAUUUGUCACUGGAACGUGCUCUGAAAGCAUGGGUUUGGGAUCAGCUGGGCAUGCGCUGUGGAGUGGCACAACCUGCCUUCCCCUACUCUGCACAGAUGUCGGUGAACGGAGCCUCUGACACCCAGAUACAAAGUAACUCGUGAUGAGAUCAUAUUUGGUAUACGCUGAACCCACAGUCACAGACACAGAGUAAACUGCCCUUGCAGCCUACAGGCACUGAAAAGUGAGAACCCUGAAUCCUUCUCCAGCUCUGGAGCCACAGUGUUAGCAGAUGCUGCAGUUUGGUGUCAUAAAAGCCAGUUUUUGACGUCCACUUCUUCCACCUGACAUGCUGCCCUUGUUCUGUCACACUACACCUGUUGUCACAGGCUUGACCCUUCUCUCUGCUGGCAGCUCCUCUUCAGAAACCUAACCAACCCUGCCGUGCAGCCUGUCAAAAGCACCUGGGCUCUGGUGCCUUCCAGCUUCACCCAUGCAUGCGUCUUUGCAUUUUCCAACCAGAAAAGGAAACACACUCUCUAAAUAGUCCAUCCAUCUCAUCUGGCAAGAGGAAAGACCAAGGCAUUAAUUUGUUACACAGAUAUUUCUGAGCCAGGUGCUAUAUGCUGGGCACUGGAUGAGAAGAUGAAGCCUGAGUCUAGCCAGAGCCCUCAUGCUUAGCACGACAUCUGGUCAGCACAAUGUCUGGUCUUCAGCAUAAGAGACUCUAACUUUCCUGAAAGCCAUGAUGAGGGAGAGCAGGACUCAGCGUCACUUCUCUGCCAACAGCACAAUGAAGAUGGGGAGCCACAAGCGCAGACUGGUUCUGUUACAAGAACCAAUGAAGACAGGUCACAAAGAUGGGGCCAACGACAAUAAUGUGAAGAUGUUGCUGAUGUGAUAAUGUAGAUGCUGAUGAAGUUGAAGCUGACACAAUUAAUGAUGAGUUUGCUGGACAUGGCACCUAAAUAGCUGAACUCUGAGACAUCCGGACUGCUUGUCUCUGGAGAGGUUCUGUAUCUGGAAGGCCAAGUAUGCACUACUUCUCUUCCUGUCUUACAACAGGAAGCAAACAUAGCCAUGGUGGGAUAGCCAGCACAGCCAGGGAACCAGGGAUGUGUGUCCUGCUCACAACAGCCUGUCUUUCUGAGGGACUUUGGGCAGUUGCUCAACCUUUCACUUACAUUUCUCCAUCGGUGCUUUAGCCGUUAACCCCACAUGUACUGGCUGGUUUUGUGUGUCAACUUACCACAGCUGGAGUUAUCGAAGAGAAUGGAGCCUCCCUUGAGGAAAUGCCUCUAUGAGAUCCAGCAGUAAGACAUUUUGUCAAUGAUCAAGGGCCCCUUGUAGAUGGUGCCAUCCCUGAGCUGGUAGUCAUGGGUUCUGUAAGAAAGCAAACUGAGCAAGCCAGUAAGUAACAUCCCUCCAUGGCCUCUGCAUCAGCUCCUGUAUCCUGACCUACUGACUUCCUUUGGUGAUGAACAGCAAUGUGGAAUUGUAAGCUGAAUAAACCCUUUCCUCCCC
rnacentral:lncRNA from 1 species